rnacentral:lncRNA from 1 species
GCUACCUUUAUUUGCUUUAGUAUAUGUCUAGGUUUGGAAUAGUUUCAUUUAUCUCUUAAUUAAGCAUGGUGCUUAGUUUAGGAAUAAUGAUCUUACUUCCAAGGGAUUUUAAAUUAAACAUGGUGCUUAGGUUAAAAUGCCCUUCUAAAUCAAAUUAGACAUGGUGUCUAGGUUGAUUUUUGAGCCGAUAGUAUGCUAUAGUAGAUAUGGGAUAUUUUGUUGGACUAACCCCUGCAGGAAAACUUUAAACCCGGGAAGUCCUGAGAUACAAACUCAUUGAUGAUGAAGAAAGUGACACAUGAAGUUUAACAAUUUGCACAAGAAGGACAUAGCUCAUUCAUCAUAAAGAGAUGAUCCAUGGAGGGUGCCACAAACACGAUGCACAACCGCUAAGAAAGGAAAGCUUCCACAAGGUGAUACUAUACCAUCACUCUUCAAGUAAGGUAACAUCUUAAGGUACGCGACUAUCACUUUCAUAAGCUUCUCCUUGGUUCUGGCAUACACAUGAAUAAAAGAGACAAACAUGUAUGAUUUGUAGCUCCAAAUUCACCAACCCAAUUAAUUCAGCAUGUUUAGUCCUUUAAUCUUUGUUCUUAGUAAUAGCUUCGUGAUCCCACACUCUUAAUCAUAUAAGCUAAAAUGUUGCACAUUCAAUCUUUGGAAGAUAUAAACAAAACAUAAAUAUAGAUAGAUUAUCUUUCCAUUAGGUUGAGCCAUCUGAUCUGACAAAUGUUUUAAAUACUACACUCAUGAUCUUAUGAUCCAUCAACUUUGUCUUGCUCACUAUGGUUAAGGUUAGAGAAGAACAAAUACACUUUUGGUUCUGUUGGUGUUUUCCACCAACAGGGCCCAUGCACUUGAUCUCUGCCUUGUCUCUAUGAAUAGGUACACUUCAAGCAAAACAUGGAGGAGUUUUACAACUCCCAGCCUCCACCAAGUGAAGGACCUAGAUCUAUGAGCACAAACACACUGAGCAGGAUAUUGCCAACACCGCACUUCGAACUACUGGGCAAUCGAAGAACAUGGGUGACACCGUAUCAAGAGGUGCAGACGUCAAGGUCCACACCUAAUCAAAUAAUGCACUUAAAGGAUGAAGAUGGUGGAAAGUCUUGUCCAGAAGACUUAAAACAUUGGAUCCUUAUCGGAAGAGGUCAACAACGUCGACUCAAGUCACCUUUCUUGAUCAAGAAGGACGACCCUGGUGUUCCAAGCAUCGAGUGCACAAUCAAUGGAUACUCUUUUUAGAAGACACACUACGACACCGGAUCUAACGACAACAUAAUGGCCGUAGUCACUUAUCAGCUCUUGCAUGGAACCAUGCCCCUACCUCCUAUAUACAUUCAGCUCGAGAUGAUUUUCAGGUCAUUGACAUGGGAGAAGACGAGUACGAUCUACCUACCAUCCUUGGACGACCGUUCCUCAAACACUAUCAAAGCCAUCAUCUAUAUUGGAACCGGAGAAGUCCACAUGCACUUCCCCUCUGAGAAGGUACGCCACUACUUUAAUGAUUCUAACUAUAUAGUUGAAGACUCUAAGCAGGUCAGUACAAGAAGAAGACAACACAACCGUAACUAGAGGAGGCAAAUCAUCAAGGACGGAUGGGUAGACUACGAAUGAGAAGUGAUAAGGUCUGAUGACAUACAGCUUGAACAGAACUGUCCUGAGGAGACUGUAGCACCGAGUCAGGUGUGGAGAGAGAAGAUAGUUACACACGAAGAAGAGGCACCACCGGAAUCACCGACUACGCCACCUAGCGAAUCCCAGGACGACUGAAAACAGAAGGAGUCCCAUUCGGAGGACUUAAAAAUACCGAACGCCUUGCCAAGAGGUGAACUUGGUAGUUAUCCUUUUCCAUUCAAUAGUUUGCUUAGUUAACCAGGUUCAUGCUAUCUUGAAAAGAAAAUAAAAAUGUUAAAAAAAUAGUAAGCCCCAUGUGAGUAUGCUCAUGGCAUAAAACCCAUAAGUACAUUCACUGUGGUGGCAUAAAAAUAAAAUAAAUAAGUUUUCAUCUUACAAUAAAAAUAUAUAAAAAAAUAAUAAUAAUAAGUGCAUGAUCCUGCUAAAUAAGUAAUAAUUAUUGAGGAGGCUCAACAUGAUAAAUGCUAGAUAUUUAUGCUAACACUUAACUAGUUCCACAAAGCUUUGUUGUCUAUUUGAGCUCUACAGAAUUUAAGAAUCAAGAAGACUAGCAGACAGAGGACAUUCUAAUCGCUGUCAGAAUGCUGCUGACUUUCAAAUACACCUCUGCCACCAGCUAGCUACAUCAGAAGAAAUUACGUCAAAAUCCAGCUUGGGGGAGAGCAACCCCAUUUAUCCAGCUAAGUGUUUCUACUCGCAUUUAUACUUUACUCAAAUAAUAAAAGAUGCAUAAUCAUGAAAACUCAAAUAAAGAUUUUGUGCUUUUAUAUAUAUAUAUUUUUGCUUAGUAUGCUAAAUAAAUAAAGUUUGCUAUGAACCCUCAUGAUAAACUCUCACAUGGAAAUGAUGAAUAGUUGCUCUACCAUGACUAGUUCUUAAAAUUGAAAUCUCUCUCAAGUUUAGGCAUGAUUGUUAUGAAGUAAGAUUUGCUCUAAACCUGAACUUGUGGGAGGACUACCUGAUCAAAAGUCUAAGUUGUUAACGGAUAUGAUAUGGGAAGGUUGAGCUGCUGUUUAUCUAUUCCUAGAGAUGCUAGAAUUCUAGAGAAUUUUAUAUUUGAAAAAUCUUUAAAAUAUCACAUGAUGAGUUCCUGUAUGAUGAGAGUUUAAGAUCCUACCACAGCCAUAUAAACAUGCUUGCUAGACUUUGAGCCACACAUUUACUUUUUACUGCUUAUGAGCAUUGAGUGUGGUCAAGCUGUGUAGACCCUUAGGAGCUUGUCAUGUGGUUAAAAUCAAGAUUCACUUGCACGUUCACUCAUACAUGCUACUUCUACUCCGGAAGUACCAUCCACAUAUAUCCACUCAUUUCCAUCUCGAGAUUCACCCAAAAAUUAUUCUACUCCUAAUCUGGGAGAGAAUAGUCAAAAAUAUUUUCCUAUCCCUGUUAUUCCCUGUGAAAUAAAUGCUCGAGUUAUCUUGGUUACUACCACUUGCUAUAUUAUUUAAGGAGAUGAGUGCUCUAAAAAAAAGAGGAAAAAUAUGAGGAAAUAAAAAGGGGCAAGUGCCCGGAACCUCGAAGAAAGAAAAAGUGAGACGAGAGGUAAAAAUGGACAAGUGUCCGACAGUAGAAUUAGGGCUACAAGAUACCCACCUGAGAGGAAAGAAAAAGAAAAUGUAGAGCAUCUCAUUCUCCUCAAAAAGCUUCAAAGUGCAAGAAAGGUAUGUAUCCCCUAAAAAGAGCAAAAAGUAGAAUUAGACUUUCACCAUUGUUAUCACCAUCAUCACCAUACACCAUUCAUUCACCACACAUGCACAUCUUGAUUUGACUUAUUGACUUGUUUCUUUGGAUCCAUAGUUUGACUAUGCAAUAAAUGUCUUGUAAGUAUGUAUUAGCUGUCUCCCACCUAUGAGCUCCCGAUAUCAAAACCUUACUAGAGUAGGGUGAGAGAGAAGGCAAUAUCACUAUGCCUCAUACCACAAAUACUACAUACUUUGAGAGAAGGCAUAUAUCAUUACUGCCCUGGUAAGGAUCCAGAAAUACCAUAAAAGAGAGAUUUGAGAGAGUCAUAUAAGGAAUCUCUGAGUUUUAUUUGAAAAUCUGCAAAAACUCCAGAGCUAUAGCUAAUCAAGAAUACGAGACAUGGCGCUUGACUUGACCGUUCUAUCUUUUAACUGCUCAAGACACAAGUGACGGUUACAAGCCCCAUGGUGAAAGGUAAAAUGAGUAAGUUUUAAGUCUUGACAGUUUAUUCUAACUAAGAGAUG